GUGAUAGGUUUGUGCGCGAGCGUUCGUGUCAGUGAAGUAAUCACAAUUUCAUGCAAUUCGCAGUCAGUUUCUGGAAUUAGUAACGCUUGCGAUGUAAAAUUUGUCAAUGAAACACUAACAUGACAAGAAAGUGAACUUUUAAAACGAGUCCAUCGUUGUAGUCUAUAACACUGACAAGUCCGAAGAGCAAAUUGUGGAAAAGUUUUUUUAGGGUUGCCAUCGACUGACUGACUGCCAGCCUCCGAAUAUUAAUUUCUACCAUCAAACAGGCAUAGCUAUUAUAAUUUGGAUCAGAGAGGAUGUGAUGGGAAGAUGAUAAUGCUAUUUGAAGACAAAGAUGGACCAUGAUUGAUUGGGAUCUUAAUUAUGCUGUCCUUGAAUGUUCUCACGUCUUUGCUCUGCUGGGUCAAACCGAGGAGCGAGAGGUCACGAUGACUCCCAUUGUGUGUGUCAAAGGGGACGAUGAGGUCAUGAGGGACUUCACAAAGUUCAGAUUACGGGCAGGCUGUGCUCUUGGUGGGUAAACUGAAUUAGAUGACAACUGGAGAACCCAUCAGAUUAGAUUACAAAUACUGUGGGUAUUUCUUGCAGAUCUGUGAAUGUCCUACAAUUUGUUUUUGAUGAAUGAGUGAUGUGUGUUCGCAGAUGUUGUAGAAAGUGUUUUAUUUGUUGUUAGUGUCCGUGGGAUAUUUGUAAGUACUCUCCUCCCCUUACCUUUGCUCCACUUCUGUCUUCCUGUGCUGUUGCGCAAUGUCUGAAGUUUUCACACUCUGCCUUGAAAAGAAUAAAUUAUUUAAACCACAGCGUUUGUGUAUAAUUAAUGAGAAAUCAUCUAAGGUGCAUAUAUGAACUGCUGCUAU
rnacentral:lncRNA from 1 species